UGACUAAUAAAUCCGGUGCAAUGAGUUAUUUGGUCUGAAUGUGAAAUGGAACAGACAACAAAAUGAGCAGGACGGUUGCGGAAAGACGUACAGGAACCUAAAUCUAUAGUGGAACAUAUGUUUCACAUGGGUUUGGUGGCUCUCAUUGCACUGGAUUUUCCUGGCAUUGACCGAGAUAAGUGUGUCACAAUGGUUGUUAUUCACAAUAUUGCAGAAGGUGUAUACAAAGGGAGCUUCUGUGAAGCAUUUGUGUAAAGAUGUAUUCAAAGGGAGCUUCCGUGCAGCCUGCUUUGUAUGAAGGGAGCUUCUGUGCAGCCUUUUUAAAUUUGUAUGAAGGGUGCAACUGCAAUAACUGAAGCUGAAUCAGGUUACGACCAUCACCGACUUUUUUAUCGAAUUGACAAACAUAAACAGGAUAAAAGACAUUCUCUAUGGCAAGAAACUGUCCCUAAAGCUGACGUUGUUAACGAAGCCAUGUCGGGGAUUCCUGUCAUUGUGGCUUGUCUUCUUAGUUUUAAUGUUGUCCCUAAAGCCAACGUUUGUCUUCUUAGUCAUUGUGGUUUGUCAUACAGGGAACCGAAUCAGCUUUUACAGUGCCCGAGUACGACUUGAAAUAUGCCGCUGGUUGGAAUGGCUGCUACACUAGCAUCUGUUCCUAAUGUUCCUUUGACUAUUCUUAACAAGGGACUGUUGGAUUGGCAAUUUGGGUCCCCCCGGUGACAAACCAAGCGAAGGAGAGUGAUAUACCUGAUAAAAGAAGUCUGUCAAGAGGAUAUUCUUCCAUUUCAUGUUCUGAAGAUAAUGAUUAUGGCAAUGGGUUGUUGUACUACUUACUACCUAUGAUUGGAGCAGUAUAUAUAUUUAUUUAU